rnacentral:rRNA from 1 species
UACGGAGGGAGCUAGCGUUGUUCGGAAUUACUGGGCGUAAAGCGCGCGUAGGCGGCUUUGUAAGUUAGAGGUGAAAGCCCGGGGCUCAACCCCGGAACUGCCUUUAAGACUGCAUCGCUUGAAUCCGGGAGAGGUGAGUGGAAUUCCGAGUGUAGAGGUGAAAUUCGUAGAUAUUCGGAGGAACACCAGUGGCGAAGGCGGCUCACUGGCUCGGUACUGACGCUGAGGUGCGAAAGCGUGGGGAGCAAACAGG